UUAAGCUAGAAAGAGCGCAGGGUGGAUGCCUUGGCACUAAGAGCCGAUGAAAGACGUGAUAAGCUGCGAAAAGCUUCGGGGAGGAGCAAAUAUCCUUUGAUCCGGAGAUCUCUGAAUGGGGAAACCUACUUGAGUGCACCUCAAGUGACGUAUGGUGAAUACAUAGCCAUACGCCGGGAACCCGGUGAACUGAAACAUCUAAGUAGCCGGAGGAAGAGAAAGAAACAUCGAUUCCGAAAGUAGCGGCGAGCGAAAUUGGAAGAGCCCAAACCGGGAUGCGUGCAUCCCGGGGUUAUGGACCACGACAUGUGACCCGUAUGGUAAUGGAACAGUCUGGGAAGUCAGACCAGAGAGGGUGAAAGUCCCGUACAUGAAACCAGAAGGGAGCUAGUGGGAUCCAGAGUACUGCGAGACACGUGGAACCUUGCAGGAAGUCGGGGGGACCACCCCCCAAGGCUAAAUACUCCUUAGUGACCGAUAGCGCAUAGUACUGUGAAGGAAAGGUGAAAAGGACCCCGGGAGGGGAGUGAAAGAGAACCUGAAACCCUGUGUUUACAAGCUGUCGAAGCACGCAAGUGCGACGGCGUACUUUUUGUAGAACGGUCCGGCGAGUUAUGAUGAGUGGUAAGGUUAAGGACUUAAGGUCCGGAGCCGAAGCGAAAGCGAGUGUUAAAAGCACGACAGAAUCGCUUAUCAUAGACCCGAAACCGGGUGAUCUAUCCAUGUCCAGGUUGAAGCUGCCGUAAGAGGUAGUGGAGGACCGAACACACAUCCGUUGAAAAGGGUGGUGAUGAGGUGUGGAUAGGGGAGAAAUUCCAAUCGAACCCGGAGAUAGCUGGUUCUCCUCGAAAUAGCUUUAGGGCUAGCCUCGUUUUAGUCUUAUGGAGGUAGAGCACUGAAUUUCCGCGGGGGCGUCAAAGCUUACCAAAGAAUAUCAAACUCCGAAUGCCAUGUAGAUGAUGAACGGGAGUCAGACUGCACGAGAUAAGUUGGGCGGUCAAAAGGGAAAGAGCCCAGACCACCGGCUAAGGUCCCAAAGUGUGUGUUAAGUGGAAAAGGAUGUGGGAAUUCGAAGACAACUAGGAUGUUGGCUCAGAAGCAGCCAUACAUUCAAAGAGUGCGUAACAGCUCACUAGUCGAGAGUCCCUGCGCCGAAAAUGUCCGGGGCUGAAACACAACACCGAAGCCGUGGACUCCGUAAGGAGUGGUAGAGGAGCAUUCUUAAAACCGACGAAGCUGUACCGGUAAGGAGCAGUGGAGGGAUAAGAAGAGAGAAUGCCGGAAUGAGUAGCGAGAGGAAGGUGGGAAUCCUUCCGGCCGAAUAUCUAAGGUUUCCAGAGUAAAGCUGAUCUGCUCUGGGUAAGUCGGGGCCUAAGGAGAGGUCGAAAGACGUAUCCGAUGGACAACAGGUUUAGAUUCCUGUACCACAUAUAAACAGAACUGUGGGGACGCAUGUGGAAAGCAUAAGCCGGGAAUGGAAAUACCGGUACAAACGGAAGAGGUGUCAGGCUGGCAAAUCCGCCUGGCAAGCCAAAGACGUGAUGUGGAGCGAAAUAAAAGUAGCGAAGUAUGUGAGCCAUGUGCCGAGAAAAGCCGCUAUUGUUUUAUAUGUGCCCGUACCGUAAACCGACACAGGUGGAUGAGGAGAGAAUCCUAAGGCCGACGGAAGAAGCAUUGUUAAGGAAUUCGGCAAAAUGACCCCGUAACUUCGGGAGAAGGGGUGCCUGCGAGAGCAGGCCGCAGAGAAUAGGCUCAAGCAACUGUUUAGCAAAAACACAGGUCUAUGCGAAACCGAAAGGUGAGGUAUAUGGGCUGACGCCUGCCCGGUGCUGGAAGGUUAAGAGGAGAUGUCAGCGCAAGCGAAGCAUUGAAUUUAAGCCCCAGUAAACGGCGGCCGUAACUAUAACGGUCCUAAGGUAGCGAAAUUCCUUGUCGGGUAAGUUC
rnacentral:rRNA from 1 species